UACAUACUACUCAGGAAAAAAAGAAC
rnacentral:piRNA from 1 species